rnacentral:rRNA from 1 species
AACGAACGCUGGCGGCAGGCCUAACACAUGCAAGUCGAUCGCUCCAGCAAUGGAGAGUGGCAGACGGGUGAGUAACGCGUGGGAACCUACCCUUUGGUUCGGAAUAGCUCAGGGACACUUGAGGUAACACCGGAUACGCCCUGCGGGGGAAGGAUUUAUCGCCAAUGGAUGGGCCCGCGUGGGAUUAGCUAGUUGGUAGGAUAACGGCCUACCAAGGCGACGAUCCGUAGCUGGUCUGAGAGGAUGGUCAGCCACACUGGGACUGAGACACGGCCCAGACUCCUACGGGAGGCAGCAGUGGGGAAUAUUGGACAAUGGGCGCAAGCCUGAUCCAGCCAUGCCGCGUGAGUGACGAAGGUCUUCGGAUUGUAAAGCUCUUUUGGCGGGGAAGAUAAUGACGGUACCCGCAGAAUAAGCCCCGGCUAACUUCGUGCCAGCCGCCGCCGUAA